UACAAAAGAAUGAUUCCUUGAGAAUAGGCAUGACCUAACAUUCCUUAAACUGUCAGGCCCAGGAGCAAUCACUCACAAGUCUACACAACAAUCUCAUAACCAACUUGCAAGGGGCCAGACAAAGUAUCAGAUUUCCUCUGAUCAAGGUAGAGAUCUCCACAAAGCCCUACUAGAGGAGAGAACCAGAAUUGUAGUGAGGCCUGGCUUGACCCAAGACUGGACUAAGCACUUCCUUUCCAUUGUCUCUGUGCCACCCAACAACCCUGAAAAGUAGCUACCAUUGUUCUCUUCUGUUUUUGGAAACACAUAGGUUGAGAGAUGUUAAAUUACUUGUCAAAGGUCAAGAAAUUCAUAAAUGCCUGAGCUGGGACACAAACUGGGGCUGUCUGACACCUAAAGCCUAUAUUAAGAAUCUCUGGAGUGGCUCAGGUCAAGGGUGUUAAUAAGAUUGUAGAUAUUUAAUGUUCUAAUUGGACAGGAUGAGCUAAAAGGUUCCAGCGUAGGAAGCACUCGCCUACUGGGGGAG
rnacentral:lncRNA from 1 species